CUUUGUCCAUUGGAUUCCUCCAUCUUCUGAGUCCCUUCGUUCUCUCCCACUUCUUCAUGUCUUUUGAAAUAAAGAAACCCUAAUGCCGCUAGACUCUGUCUCUCUCUCUCUCUCUCUCUCUCUCUCUCUCUCUCAUUGUUGCCACCAAAAUCAACCACCUCGUUUUUCUCAAUGCUACAACGACCCCAACCCAUCUGGCAACGAUUUCCGUAAGCAACUCAGGUUUACCCUUCCAACCCACAGGUUUCUUGAUUUGUGUUGUCCUAUUUUGGGUUUUUCUUAAUAAUAUGUUGCAACGAUCCUCACCCCCACCACUAACCAGUAACUAGCACCGCCAUAGAAAUCCCACAACUCUUCGUCGAUGUUCGAUUUCUUUGGUGAUGGAACCCAUCUCUAUAAGGUACUCACCAUAGCUUUUUUUUGUUCCUCUAUCUAACUUACUGUGUAUAUCGAUAGUUGACCCUCCUGCCUCACAUCUUCGAGUUUCAAGGUACAACUUUGGGAAAGUAAAGAUAUGUUUGUUUUUUUUUUCAUGUAUUUCUGAAGAUUCAAGCUACAACUGUGGGAAAUCAACAAUAAUUAGUUUGUUUUUCCCGGUAUGUUUCUAGAUUCAAGCUAGAAAUUUGGGAAAUUAUCUCAGUUUGUUUUUAUAUUUCAGACUUAUUUGCUUGCAGAUCCAAAGGCAAGAGAGAUUGACACACUAAAAAUGAACUACAAAGCUCCAUGAAGCAACUCUGGAGAAACUUGAGUUAGUGAAAACAGAAUCUGAAAGUUUAUCAUCACAGAAGGUAAUAAAAUGUGAGAAAAAUAAGAAACUAAAUGUGAUUGUGGGUUAGAAUGAAACAACUCAAAAGUGGUUAAGGUGAUGUUGUAAGCCUAAAAGGUUUUGUAUUUAUAAUUUCCUAUUCCUAAUGAAAUAUAUAAUGAAUCAGGUCCACCUCCUACCAGGAAACUUGCAACUUUGUUGUAUAGACUAAGAAGAACGCAUGUGGUUGCUAAAAUUAAGAGUUACUAGACUAAAACAACAAUGUAGUCAAAGCAGAAAUUGUAAAAAGUGUGCUUAACUCAACGGAUGAUAUUUUUUUAUUUGUUUUAUUGUCAUAUAUCUUUGCUUAUAUCAACCGAUCUUGUACAUAUGUUGCAUAAACUAAGGUGGCAUUUUGUUGCAUAAUUUAAUCAUAACAUUUGAUGUUUUUCUUUUCGGUUCACUAGAACAUCUUUCUAAUGGGUAUCUUUUUAUUUAUGUUAGUUUAAUUUCUCUUCGUGCCUCACAAAGCGUAAAAUGAAUGACACAUUUUUACCCUUGUAUUGUAUGUUCACAGCUAUAUGCAAACUAUGCCAUUGGUAAAGAUGUCCAUGUCAUGAAAGCAGUGGUUGGAGAAGAAGCCUUCUUCUGAGGAUCCGGUCAGUUUCACUUUCUCUAUCUAAAUUACAAUCAUGGUUCUUAAUGAGAUAAAACUUGUUGGACUUGUAGUGGCGUGUGAAAAAAAUCGUAAGGAAUUAGCAUUUGAUAAAAAAGGAAAAUUCAUUAUUUGAAUUUUUUGUGUUUUUCUAUGUUUAACCUUUUAUAAACGUGGGUGAUCAGGAAAAUUCAUUAUUGGAUAUUGAUGCUACAUUAUAUAAAUCAGGUAAAUGGUAUAAUUUACAAAUUAGUAUAAGUUUUAGAUUUAUGUUUCAAUUUAUGGUCUCUAUCUUAAGCAACAAUUUCCUUACAAAGGAAAAAAGGAGUUACUUUGGAAUUUAUUUAGCGCAAUAAUAUGAUGUUAGAGUUGAUUUUUGUGCCCGUGAAACAAAUUCAGACGAAGGAAGCGAAUUGAAAACCCUAUAGCCUAGACGAUUUCAAUGCUUGAAACAAAGAAGUUUAAUUCGGGUAUUUUUGUGAUUACCUUUAAUUUCAUGUUUUAUUAUGUUUAAUUUCGUUUUUUAAUUAUCCAUGGUUAAUGUAAUUUUUUUUAACAAGAUAUGGUCGAGAUCUCAAUUUUUCUUUCUUUUCAUGUUUGUGUUAAUUUGUUACGGUUUUAUCAUAUAUUUUUGUUUAUUGUUCAAAUUAUAAAGAUAGUUUUUGUAGUUACAGGAAAAUGAAUUCUACCGGCUGUUCCCGGUUUCACAAAAAUGUUUCCAUUUGUUGUUUCUCUCUGACAGUUGAUUAUGUGGAGGAUCCAAUCACCCAAUGGAGUAUAGGAGGAUAUUCUCAAGCUUCAGGUAAUCCUGUUUAUCUUGCUAAUUUUCUAUAUAGUUCCCUUUACUUUGGUAUUUUGAUGGUCUAUAUAAUGUUUUAUACUUUCUUCCUUGGAG
rnacentral:lncRNA from 1 species